UACAGAGGGUGCGAGCGUUGUUCGGAAUUAUUGGGCGUAAAGCGCUUGUAGGCGGCUUGUUAAGUUCCGUGUGAAAUCCCCAGGCUUAACCUGGGAAGUGCGCGGAAAACUGGCGAGCUUGAGUGCCGGAGAGGGUCGCGGAAUUCCUGGUGUAGCGGUGAAAUGCGUAGAUAUCAGGAGGAACACCUGUGGCGAAAGCGGCUCACUGGACCAUAACUGACGCUGAUGCACGAAAGCUAGGGGAGCGAACAGG
rnacentral:rRNA from 1 species